AUGGACAGGAGGACCCCUGCUCAGCUCCUGGGGCUCCUGCUGCUCUGCCUCCCAGGUGCCAGAUGUGACAUCCAGAUGACCCAGUCUCCAGCCUCCCUGUCUGCAUCUCCAGGAGACAUAGUCACCUUCACUUGCCAGGCCAGUCAGGGCAUUAGCGAUACAUUAAACUGGUACCAGCAGAAACAAGGGAAAGCUCCUACACUCUUGAUCCAUCAUGCAUCCAAGUUGGCCUCUGGGUUCCCAUCAAUGUUCAGUGGCAGUGAAUCUGGGAGAGAGUUCACUCUCACCAUCAGCAGCCUGCAGCCAGAAGAUGUUGCAACUUAUUACUGUCAACAGCAUAGGAGUUUCCCUAUCAGAGUGAUACAAGUCAUAACAUAA